CUCAGCCUCUCUUCUAUUUCUCUCAACCGAUGAAACCAUAUGAGUCUCUCUCAGCCUCUCUUCUCUUCCUCUCAGCCGAUGAACCAGAUUGAGUUUGAUGAAUCAGUUUCAAUUCAGUUUGUUCAUCAUCUGUAAUAGGAUUUUUAGGACUUCAUAAAUUAAUUUUAGGGUUUCUGUCUAUAUUAUGAUUCAUUUUUUCGAUUUUAAUUUGUUCGUCGAAGUUCGAACUUGGAAGAACUGAUCUUCACUCUCAGCUAAUCGUGAGAAAGCAUCUGUUCAACUUUGUUUAAUUUAGAUGCAGAUGGAAAUGAAGUUCAUAAGUUGACUGAGAAGCUACAAAGGGGUUAGCAUAAGGAGAAGCUUCUUAAGCUUCAAAUUUCAUGUGGUUUCUCAAUCAACUGUCACUGGUUGGAUCGGCACAUUGUAUUGUUGUUUCUGAUGCGGUUGAUGCCGGUGAUAGAGCUGAGGAAGACGAUGGUACAUUUUCUAAGGGUUUUUCCUAGGAAGGGGAAGAUGAGUAUGAGAAAGGUGGGGUUAUAGUAGACGAUGUUGAUGUUGAAGAUCAGGAUAAAGAAGAGAAUAGGCAAAGUAGUGAUGAGGAUAAACAAAAUGAGAGGAAAAAGAGGAAAAAGUGGGAAUCUGAGAAGAAUUAUGUCUUAGCUGAGGAUGAUUAAGAGUUACUGUAGGAUCACAAUGCGGGCUUUCACCGUCCUGCACUAGGAAGUAAAAAGUUCAAGCGACUAAAGAAAGCGGGGAGGGGUAAUUAUUUGGAGGAGCAUACUGGUCUAUCUGACAAUGAUGCAGCGGAUAGAAGUGGUUGUAAGGGAAUAAGUGCUGAAGAAAGUGGGAAGGGGUAAUUAUUUGGAGGUAUGGCAGAGUUCGAUACUUUAUUAGUUCAUCUCUUAUGGGUUUGCUGCAGAUAUUGCCGAAACUUGAGUUUGCUGGCUGGCGCUGCUUGUACCUGUUUGCUUCCAACCCUGAACUUUAUUUUAAGCAUGUAGUUCAUCUUUGAGACCGACAUAUUUGAAUACAUCCACAUGUUGUUGAAUCUUGAGUUUGCUGGCUGGCGCUGCUUGAUCAGAAGAUAGGUUUUAACAAGAACAAGAAAUUGGUCAAGAAGCUCGCUAAUAAAUACCAUGUAUCUGAAACCGUUAUUAAGCAAGUUCCUCGUCUUCUUGGACCUGGUCUCAACAAGGCAGGAAAGUGUAUUUCCUUAAACCACAAAUCUCUAUCGGGAUAAGGAUCAAGGGAUAAAGGUUCUUGUUAAUGCUAUCCAAGCUUGCACUGAAACAAUAGAUAGCCACAAGGAUAAACUGGUAGUAAAGGAGGCACCAAGAUUGCAGAUACUCAUUAGCGUUAACGAUUGUUACGACUAAAACAACAUCGAAUAGUGGUCGGGUUGAAGAUGCUCCUGAUGAUCCUGAAUCCGAUAUAAGACUUCAAUGAUACCUAUAACAGCAUCAAAGACUUAUCUUUGGACACAGUUAUAUCAGCUUAGAGAAGAGAGAGACAUGAAUCCUGAAACUUUUUCUAGUCUUGUUUCUGCUAUUUUCUACGAGAAAAGGGAUCUUUCGGGCAAUAAUUUUUCGGGUGUCCCAUCUUCUAUUGCUGAUCUAGAGCAUCCGCUUACCUUGUUAUAUGAAUGAUGUGUUUUCUGAUCGAAAGGCUGGAGAAUAAAGCAGCGCAAGUUUUGUAAGUUUAUAUGUGGGAAGUUAUUAAGUUUAUAUAUAUUACAUUAGAAAUUUGGAACUCAGUUUCUAUAGAAUUUGAUACUUAACAAAAAAUUGGUACUUAGAAGAAUUUAUGUACUUACCAAAAAAAAUUAUACUUGGAAGAAUUUGUGUUCUUUUUUGGCAUGAAUUGGUUGAAUGUGAUGUGAAUUGAUUUUUGAAUGUAAUAUGAAUUGAUUGUUGAA